rnacentral:tRNA from 1 species
GGAGAGAUGCCAGAGCGGUCGAAUGGGGCGGUCUCGAAAACCGUUGCUCGAGCAAUCGGGCCCAGGGUUCGAAUCCCUGUCUCUCCG